CAGUCGCCACGGUAAUACGUAGGUGGCAAGCGUUGUCCGGAAUUAUUGGGCGUAAAGGGCUCGCAGGCGGUUUCUUAAGUCUGAUGUGAAAGCCCCCGGCUCAACCGGGGAGGGUCAUUGGAAACUGGGAAACUUGAGUGCAGAAGAGGAGAGUGGAAUUCCACGUGUAGCGGUGAAAUGCGUAGAGAUGUGGAGGAACACCAGUGGCGAAGGCGACUCUCUGGUCUGUAACUGACGCUGAGGAGCGAAAGCGUGGGGAGCGAACAGGAUUAGAGACCCCCGUAGUCCCUGUCUCUUAUAU
rnacentral:rRNA from 1 species